rnacentral:rRNA from 1 species
UACGUAGGGUGCGAGCGUUAAUCGGAAUUACUGGGCGUAAAGCGUGCGCAGGCGGUUCGCUGUGUCCUGUGUGAAAGCCCCGGGCUUAACCUGGGAAUGGCAUGGGAAACUGGCGAGCUUGAGUGCGGCAGAGGGGGGUGGAAUUCCGCGUGUAGCAGUGAAAUGCGUAGAGAUGCGGAGGAACACCGAUGGCGAAGGCAGCCCCCUGGGCUAACACUGACGCUCAGGCACGAAAGCGUGGGGAGCAAACAGG